rnacentral:rRNA from 1 species
CCUACGGGCGGCAGCAGUGGGGAAUAUUGGACAAUGGGGGGAACCCUGAUCCAGCCAUGCCGCGUGUGUGAAGAAGGCCCUCGGGUUGUAAAGCACUUUCAGUGAGGAAGAACGCCUGGUGGUUAAUACCCAUCAGGAAAGACAUCACUCACAGAAGAAGCACCGGCUAACUCCGUGCCAGCAGCCGCGGUAAUACGGAGGGUGCGAGCGCUAAUCGGAAUUACUGGGCGUAAAGCGCGCGUAGGUGGCUUGAUAAGCCGGUUGUGAAAGCCCCGGGCUCAACCUGGGAACGGCAUCCGGAACUGUCAAGCUAGAGUGCAGGAGAGGAAGGUAGAAUUCCCGGUGUAGCGGUGAAAUGCGUAGAGAUCGGGAGGAAUACCAGUGGCGAAGGCGGCCUUCUGGACUGACACUGACACUGAGGUGCGAAAGCGUGGGUAGCAAACAGGAUUAGAUACCCGGGUAGUC